rnacentral:rRNA from 1 species
GACGAACGCUGGCGGCGUGCCUAACACAUGCAAGUCGAACGAAGUGGCGUACGGGUGAGUAACGCGUAAUCAACCUGCCCUUCAGGGGGGGACAACAGUUGGAAACGACUGCUAAUACCGCAUACUGAAGGAGGGGAUUGAGUCUGAUUAGCUAGUUGGAGGGCUAACGGCCUACCAAGGCGAGGAUCAGUAGCUGGUCUGAGAGGAUGAACGGUCACAUUGGAACUGAGACACGGCCCAGACUCCUACGGGAGGCAGCAGUAGGGAAUAUUGGGCAAUGGGCGAAAGCCUGAUCGAGCAACGCCGCGUGAGUGAAGAAGGUUUUCGGAUCGUAAAGCUCUUUUGUUAGAGAAGCGGUAUCUAACCAGAAAGCCACGGCUAACUACGUGCCAGCAGCCGCGGUAAUUC